AUGUUGCGGCAGAUGCGAUGGCUGACGGACAGGGAAGGGAGGUGGGAGCUGGACGUGGAGUCCCCGGCGACGAUGGAGGGCACGGCGCGCCCGGUCCCGGGCGACCCGCUGCCCCUCGGUCUCUCGCGGGGGCCCCGCGUCACCCGCACCAAGCAGCUCGACUUCUUCCACCGCUUCAUGGCCUCCCCGCUCGUCCCCUCCUUCUCCGCCUCCCGCGCCGGCCUCUCCCUCCAUCACGCGCACCUCCUCCAUCUCGCCCACAACUGGUCAUUUACUAUCUUGGAGCAGCUUCAUGUACAGAAGCUCGUGACAGCCGUGAAGGAGAAGCUGUCAAAUCAUCGACAAGGGGUUCCCUGGUCCAAUGAUCUCGAGAGGCAUUUGCAUGACGUCAUUUCUCUAGGUGUUGGCACGGAAUUCUUGAUCACACCAGACACGGCAUUGCUGCUGGAGUUGUACAAUAUCAACAAGGGGGACCGAGGCAAAGCGAUUAUUCACCACAAGCUUCCUCAACAAAAUAUUACAUUAGCAGCAUCUUGGCCUGGAUUAUUUGUUGAUAAACAGGGGGUGUACUGGGAUGUGCCUUUAUCAUUGUCAGCUGAUCUUGCUUCAGUCGGCUCCAGUUCUGGAUUGAGUUAUCAUCUAUUGUUACAACAGAAUAGUGGGGAGCCAAAAUGUUUUGGUGGUGAUGAAACCAAUGAUGUUCCUCUCGCUCUGCUACCUGGUUUGUGUGCUAAAGCAGCUAUUUCCAUCAAGAGAAGUAUUGAUGCUUGGAGGAAGAAAGAAGACAAGCUAAAAAUGGUUCAGCCUUAUGAUGCAUUUCUCUCAGACCCUCAUGUUUCAUUCACUGGAAUUGUUGGUGCUGUAGCCAGUGGUUCUUUGGGAGAUUGUUCAAAAAGAAUUAUAGUGCCGGACGAAAUGCGAAAAAGCAAUGCCUUCAGAGUAUUCCACGAGAGGAAUAAGUUUGCUGCAUUUGCAGACCUCUUUGCUUCUGUUACUUUUACAGCUCAACAUGGAAAUUUCCAGAGGCUUUUCCUGGAUUUGACCAGGGUCAGUGCCCGAUUAGAUAUAUCCUCAGGAUCUUUGUUCUUACGUGGUGCUUCUCGAUUAGCGCAAGAUUUUUUCUUCUCUAGACGGCCUGAUUUAGAGACAUUCUGUGAUGUUUGUCCAGAUGUGAUUGUUUCUCUUCAACAACAGAUAGUUGGACCAUUCAGCUUUCGUGUUGAAUCUUCUGUUGCCAUUGACCCAAGAAGUCCAGACCAUUUUGUUCGAGUGGGCGACUCGGUCUUCGCCAUUGAUUGGGCCCUGAAGGUUCUGGGUUCAGCAAAGGCCACAGCUUGGUAUUCGCCCAAGCAUCAGGAAGCAAUGGUGGAGCUUCGUUUCUUUGAGGUCUGA
rnacentral:rRNA from 1 species